rnacentral:lncRNA from 1 species
CAUCCCGGUGUUUAAUAAAGAGUCCAGAUCGACUUGCUGAUAUCAAUUAUGAGGGGAGAUUAGAAGCAGUCUCAAGAAAGCAAGGGGCCCAAUUCAAGGAGUAUCGGCCUGAAACUGGUUCUUGGGUGUUUAAGGUUUCCCAUUUUUCUAAGUAUGGCCUUCAGGAUUCUGAUGAAGAGGAGGAGGAACACCCACCCAAAACUACUUCAAAGAAGCUGAAGACUGCCCCUUUGCCCCCUGCAGGCCAGGCAACCACUUUCCAGAUGACUCUUAAUGGCAAACCUGCACCCCCACCUCAGGUAGAGAAGGGCAGAGAAUGUGAAUGCGGCCGUGAUAAAGAAGUCAGAGGUCAUUCAGCUUUUCAGCUGUUCAGCCCUUGGAACUAAGUGCAAGGGAGGGCACAGUGCUGCAGGCUGUUAUUUUUUUACUCAAGAUUUAAAGAAUUCUCUUGCUGUUUGGAUCGUUCUUCUACAAAUUGUAACUUAAUUUCUCUCAUUUGGACUUGUAAUGUUUUGAUCAGUGAUCAGCUUGAGAUAGCAUUUUGCUUGUGUGGGGUUGAUGCAAAGUAAAUCCUACUUUUAUUGAUUUCAUGAUGUGCAGUCUGAUCUUAUUCUUUACCUCCAUCCCUUUUUAGAGUCAGAGUAGCUUUCUGCAAGAGUUUAGUUUUUUUUCUCAAGUUGUUUGCUAUGUUUCAGGUAAACUUUUAAUAUUGUAUUUUAAUAAUUGUUAUAAAAGUAUAUAAUUUUAAAAAGCAAGUAAAUGAUUUAGCUUGGAGAGAAUAGGGACUGUGUUGUUUAUUAUAAUUAUUUGUGUAAUGUCCUUUCUCAGUAUUGUUAAACUAUUAUAAGCCUUUUGUCCUCAUGGGGAAAGGUUUGUAAAUUAAUUAAUAGAUUGUUUCUUUGAAUGGUAAAGUGAUUUACUCAAUCAGGUUGUGGUUUAUACUCAAUCAAGUUAAAGUGAUGUUUUUAACUUACUGACUUACUCCUUCAAAGAAGAGUUGUUUACGGGACUUUGUAAAA